UAGCAAGUAAUGAUGGCAUCAACAUGUCUUCCUUGCGCAGAGGAAAGAAAAAGGAAAGAACAAAACCAGAGAUUAUAUAUAAAGAGAAGCUACCAUUAAAAAGAAAGAAAGAAAAAGAAAUGAAAAUUACUCUCUUUGCAAUAUAGAAUCAUAAACGUCCAUUUGACGGAACCAAAAUAAAAAUCCUUGUACACUUUAAACCAGACUUCCUCAUCUAUCUACUCCUAACACGUCCAGAGACACCAGGGCAAAGGGCAGGGCUACUUUGGCAGUCCCAUGCCUUUAUUGGAGAAAAGGGAAACAGACCAAUACUACACAGGUCGUCAAGACCAUGACGAUCACCAAUAUUUAUAUACCAAUAUACCGUGCACCUUCAGCAAGGGAUCUCGAACACCACCCAAUCAACACCCCCUGCCUUCCACUUACGUGACAAAAAGCUGGGGCGUGGGCCUCGGUCACCUUCGUGAUCUUCAGGCAAGUCCACGCGAAGCAGACCGCCGCAGAGGAGACUGCGUUGCAUUGGAAGCAGACACUGUUGGGGCCGACGAAGAGAAGAAGCCUUGCAUCUCCGAGGACCGGUAUCUACCGGAAUCACCCGGCAACCGCAUGUAAGAAGCCGAAGGUGAGUCCUCGAACCAUGGAGUCCCCAGAGGAGUCUGCCCACCACUCCUGUAUUGGACUAUGGUCCUAUAGACUAAUGGAAUGAGUCCUUCCAUCUCUAUGAGAGCAGAAGACCGAGCUUCUUUAGCAAGAUAGUAAACCUUCUGCUCCUUGUCUUGCUCGAGGGAUGAGGAGCGGCCGGCUGAAAAAUAUUGAGUAUGAGAAUGGUUUGCGCUUGUUUAGAGGGGAAAAACGGGGGAGAGGGGUUACUUUAAAAAGAGGAGACUCGAGGUUGGAUGACGUGGAAUGGCGGGGGGCGUCAUCCAAAGCCGGAUUUUCGUAGGGCGAAGCCAAACAUACUCGGUCUUCGGAGAAGAA
rnacentral:lncRNA from 1 species